rnacentral:rRNA from 1 species
CGCCUUGCCAGCCCGCUCAGAACUUAAAGGAAUUGACGGGGGCCCGCACAAGCGGUGGAGCAUGUGGUUUAAUUCGAUGAUACGCGAGGAACCUUACCUGGGCUCAAAUGUAUGUUGACGUAUUCUGAAAGGGAUACUUCUUCGGACAAUAUACAAGGUGCUGCAUGGUUGUCGUCAGCUCGUGCCGUGAGGUGUCGGGUUAAGUCCCAUAACGAGCGCAACCCCUAUCAUUAGUUGCCAUCAGGUCAAGCUGGGGACUCUAAUGAAACUGCCUACGCAAGUAGUGAGGAAGGUGGGGAUGACGUCAAAUCAGCACGGCCCUUACGUCCAGGGCUACACACGUGCUACAAUGGCCGGUACAAAGGGCAGCUACCUGGUGACAGGAUGCAAAUCUCCAAAGUCGGUCUCAGUUCGGAUCGGAGUCUGCAACCCGACUCCGUGAAGUUGGAUUCGCUAGUAAUCGCGCAUCAGCCAUGGCGCGGUGAAUACGUUCCCGGGCCUU